rnacentral:misc_RNA from 1 species
UUUAUCGGGAAAAGUAUACCAUGUUUAAACACGUAAAGCGCGUUACUUAAAUACCUCAGUUAUUAAGCCUAUUGAGCCUCUGGAGGCGAUAUCAAACCAGGGCACCAAAACUACAAGAGCUGCAGACGCCAUAAGAUUUAUUUCCACUAGCUCUCCGGGUGACGAUCAGGGUCUGUUCAGCCGUGCUUGUGAUACGAUAAAACUGCCCAGUCGAUUUGAGUAUUUCGGACAAGGUAUAUGUGGAUGACCAAAGCCGGACAACUGGGGACUACUAUCUCUAUGUGCCGUUUCGGGUUUUCCGUUUUCUCGACGGAUCCCGUGUCUCGUUUUCGUGCAAUGUCAUCAUCUGUCAGGACAACUGUCCGUCGGCUGACUGUGGUGAGUUUAUGGGAAUGUCCUACGGCAGGAAGAAAAGAGACAUUACUGACAAUUCACGAUACCAAGUUAUGUCUGUUUCCCGUGACGUCACAGUUUUAGAUGAUGUCACCAGUCGCACCGUUCAUGCUAAGACUACUUCGAUAGAGAAAUUAGAAGAUUCCAAAACCGAAACAGCCGCGCUUUCUGUACAUUUUACAUGGCUUCUAGGUGGAGCUACCAUCGCCACUACCCUUUUCUUCUCUCUCGCAUUAAAUGUUUAUUUUAUCUUCAUUGCGAAACGGAACUCAUCAGUGUCUGAGAAAACAAAUGAACACGGAAAAACAGAUUGUUGUUCAUCUCUGAAGACGCGCAAAACGGAAAUUAAUUACCCCCCGCGACGUACACAAAGGCCCUUGUUUGACUAAACCUAAAUUAUUUCGAAUGAUGUUAUUUCUAUUAAAAGGGAAAAAAUAUGUUUUGGGGAAAUUGUGGGGUAAGUAAGGGUAACUUCAUAUAUUUUAUCUAAUGGGUGAUGCGGCAUCCUUCAACUUUUGGUUUGUGCUUAUAUUUUGUUGUUGUUGUUCGUGGUAUUUUACUUUAUAUCUUCAUUCUUUACGUAAACGUCAUCGUUUUAGGCUUAACCAAUUUUUUACUUAACGAACGAGUUUAAGACUAAAUAAAAGGAAAUAAAAAACAGGUCACGACCGUGAUAAAGUACUUUUUACAUCUGUUAGUAUAUGUUAAGUAAUACUAAGUGCUUCAUUUCAAAGUUAUUUAAUUCUUUGUUGUUGUUGUUGUUUGCUCAUUGUUUAAAAUAUGUUCCUAAUUACUAAUAAAGCUUGCUUUC